rnacentral:rRNA from 1 species
AGUGAACGCUGGCGGUAGGCCUAACACAUGCAAGUCGAGCGGCAGCACAGUAAGAGCUUGCUCUUACGGGUGGCGAGUGGCGGACGGGUGCGGGAUACCUCGGAAUCUACUUUUUAGUGGGGGAUAACGUAGGGACACUUACGGUAAUACCGCAUACGGCGUACGGGUGAGAGCAGGGGAUCUUCGGCCCUUGCGCGAUUGAAUGACGCGAUGUCGGAUUAGCUAGUUGGCGGGGUAAAGGCCCACCAAGGCGACGAUCCGUAGCUGGUCUGAGAGGAUGAUCAGCCACACUGGAACUGAGACACGGUCCAGACUCCUACGGGAGGCAGCAGUGGGGAAUAUUGGACAAUGGGCGCAAGCCUGAUCCAGCCAUACCGCGUGGGUGAAGAAGGUCUUCGGGUUGUAAAGCCCUUUUGUUGGGAAAGAAAAGCAGCAGGUUAAUACCCCGCUGUUCUGACGGUACCCAAAGAAUAAGCACCGGCUAACUUCGUG